GCUCCUGUGGCCUAGUGGUAAGAGCAUCCGCCUUAGAUGCAGGAGGUCGUUGGUUCGAUCACCAUUUGAGUCA